UCUCAAGCAAUUCAUUUGUCCCAUUAGAUCCACAAAUACAAUUACAAAUGUAUGCCAAAAUGUCAUACCCUACCAUCUAAAAUGAGCAGUUCAACACAAAUGGCCAAUAAUUAUCGAAACCAGCUAUCUCAUUUAUGUCCUCAAAAACAUACACUCUGAAUGCUUAUAAAGUUUUAAAAUUCAGAACUAGGAUAGAAUUUUUAGAAUUCUAGCAACCGCUUUUGCAAAUAUAUUGGAAAUAGUUAUGUUGCAAAGAUGAUCACACGAAUAUGAGAAUAAUAUACAGUCAAACUUCAAGCCUUUAUCAUGAGAGACGCAGAAAAAAAAAUAAAGCACAGGUGACAGAUUUGCUUCUUAUCCAGAUAAUCUUGAAAAGGAAUCUAUGAAGCAACUUACAUGGAUGAGAUGUCUAGAAUAUG
rnacentral:misc_RNA from 1 species